rnacentral:misc_RNA from 1 species
GAAAUUAUGCUCUUCAAUAAUACAAAAAAAUAGAACGAAAGAUUAAAAAUUGCAUUCUCUUUCAUUUUCAAGGCAAAAUAAGCACUUCCAAGACGAUGCAAACAACAAAUGUCAACCAUUAGUCAGCAUCACCGUCCACAAAUGUUGCAACUACAUGCCAAGCCUGUCACACAUCAUUUACAAUUGUUCCUACUCAUUUUCUAGGUAUACGUGUUUGA